ensembl:snRNA U6 U6 spliceosomal RNA
GUGUUCAUUCCAACAAUAUAUAUACUAAAACUGGAACAAUACAGAGAUUAACAUAGUAGCUACCCAAUGAUGACACAUAAAUUUGUGGAGUACUAUAUAUUUUU